rnacentral:ncRNA from 1 species
AUAAACUCAAUGAAAAAGAGAGUAGUUUUAUUGGAUAUGUUAGAGAGUCUAUGUUGGUGGAAAUUAGAUAUUGAAAAUAAAAUGAAGCGCACUUUGGAGGGGGUUAUCUGAAUACAUAGGAUAACAAGCUAACCAGCUUUAACGGUGAGGUGGAUAUGUUUAUCAUAUCAACAAGAGUGGUACCGCGGAAUCUUUCGUCUCUUAG